rnacentral:rRNA from 1 species
UAGUGAUAGCUGGUUGUUCAAGAAAAGAGUUUUAGCUCUGCCUUAAGUUUUUUUAUUACACCUAGCAAAAUCAAAGCUUAAGAGUUAUUCAAAUUAGGUACAGCUUAUUUGAAACAGGACCCAACCUCUACCCCCGGGUAAAGAAGGGCAAUAAAAAUAAAGUCGGCCCAAAAGCAGCCACCUUUAAAAAAGCGUCAAAGCUUAACUACCAAGCCCCCAAUUAUAUAAAUAUUCCUAAACCCCAACUACUAUUGAACUAUUUUAUACUGAUAUAAAAGUAAUUAUGCUAGAACUAGUAACAAGAACUUGCACUUCUCCACAAUGUAAGCAUAAACCAAAACGGACAAUCCGUUGGUAAUUAACGCAAAUGCAAGACCAUAAUAACAGACACUAGGAAACCUUAUGGCCCACAACGUUACCCUAACACCAGAACAUUUUAGGAAAGAUUAAAAGAAAGAGAAGGAACUCGGCAAAUUUUAGCCCCGCCUGUUUACCAAAAACAUCGCCUCCUGACCACCAUAGGAGGUCCAGCCUGCCCAGUGAUAAUAUUCAACGGCCGCGGUAUACUAACCGUGCGAAGGUAGCAUAAUCACUUGUUCUUUAAAUAGGGACUUGUAUCAACGGCACCACGAGGGCUACACUGUCUCCCCCCUCCAAUCAGUGAAACUGAUCUCCCCGUGAAGAAGCGGGGAUUUACCUAUAAGACGAGAAGACCCCAUGGAGCUUUAAACCCAACGUACACCCCUGACCCACACCAACUUAACCCAAAGAUCUGUACGUCGGUUUUAGGCUGGGGGGGCCACGGAGUAAAAUUAAACCUCCACAACAAAUGGGCUAAUACCCUUAUCCACGAUUUACUAAUCUAAGAACCACAAAAUUGAUGUUUAAUGACCCGAUAAUUCGAUCAAUGAACCAAGUUACCCUGGGGAUAACAGCGCAAUCUACUUCAAGAGCCCAUAUCGCCAAGUAGGUUUACGACCUCGAUGUUGGAUCAGGGUAUCCUAGUGGUGCAACCGCUACUAAUGGUUCGUUUGUUCAACGAUCAAAACCCU